UAACAGGACCUACUUUAAAAUCAGGUCACUUUUAGGGCCCUAUGGUUUCCGCAGACGGAAUUUACCGUAAAAUGCGUAAUGUCACAGAAUUUGUCAAACUUUGGAUGAAUUUAUCAAAAGUAGGUCAUUGCACUUAAAUCAUAUUGUGAUGUGGACUAGUAUCUGUAAAUAUUAAGCCACAAAGAUUUAGAUUUAAAUAUGAAUCGUGCAUGUUCUACGUGUCUCUGUGUGAAUGAAUGACGCAGACGCACGGUUUCGUUUACUACACACACACUGAAGCGUGCGACGCUCGCGGUGACAUAAAUACAUGAACAAUCUCCAGAACUGCUCUGAGAGCAUUUUACCAUUUCAUUUGAGUAAAACUAGCAUCAUAUCAUAUACACACAGACAUUUAAAAGUAUUCACGACAAUCCAUCGAAAUAAAAGUUUGAAGACAGAAAUAUACUAAAAUCACGCAACAUUUCUUUUUAAUAGUAAAUCCCCUUUGUUUGCCAAAAAAAUAAAAAAGGUUUAAUUUUCAAUAAUUAAAAGAUAAAUGAAAUGAAUGUUUUAUGCCUUCAUUCGAUAACCAGAAAAAUUUAAAUACACAACAGAAAACAAAUUCUAUUGUAAGAAUAGAUUUGAUCAUCAUGUUUUAAAGAAACAAAACUCUGAGCCAUUUACAGUCACACACAGAUGCAGUAGUGUGCAAACUCUACUACACGGGGGUGUUUUAGAUAACUCUAAAAUAAUUCACUUCUUUAUGUUUUUGAAAAUAUUUAUUGAAUAUAUUUAUUUUUGUUGUAAUAUUAUGUUUAAGCCUAACAAAUAAUUGACCUCAAAAAGGGAAUUCAUGAGCAAUAACUGCUUUAUUUUUUCAUAUUAGUUAUAUAUCAUAUUAUUAUAAAGAAUUGAACUGUUCUGUGUGAGACUUUUAAAAAUGAUUUUAAUAUAAUUUCUUGGCAAGUAACAGAGCAUUGUAAAUAAAAAAAAACCUAAAUGAAAAAACCUAAAAUGUGCAUCAUUUAGUUGCAUCAAACAUAAAUAACAAAAUAUAAGUGACACAUUAAAAUGAAAAGUUACACACUUUUGUGCGCGCUGUACUGGUCUGAUAUAAAGACUGAGAAACGUUUUGCUCAGCAAGAACAAAAUGAGCAGGAACAUUGCCCUGAACAUGUCAUUUUUGUUAAACUUUUAAUAAAUUGAUGUGAAAUUGCACAAGUUUCAUGAUUUUACAUGCCUUUUGCUUAACAAAAAACUUAAUUUAACCAUUAAAAAAAGAGUCCAGAAAAAUUUAAACGGAAAAAAUGGAAUUUGGGAAAAACUUAAAUGGAAUUUAUAUUUCAUAGGGCCCUACUUUCAACUUCUUUCAACCAAACAUCUGACAAAAUUGAGCUCAUCAGCAAGAUGAGGCAGCAGAUAUCAGCAAAGUUCAUAGUCCUCGGCUCGCUCGCGGUCCAGGUUGUGUUUGACCAUGGCUUUCCUCACGACUGCGGGAGUCUUAUCCUGACUGGUGACCUGAAACAGAAACACACACACAUGCUUCGAGCUGGCAGGGUUCAAACGCUUCGCACCACUGGAUCUCAGGACUGACUCUGAUGAUGCAGCAGUCGUCCACCUGCUGGUUGUAGAGCGGCAGAGAGAGAGACGAGUAGCUGGACACGCCGGAGACGGAGCGCUUGUGUGAGCGGGACGCUGUGACCGGUGUGGACGACACCGAAGACGAGGAGGCACUGCUGGAGCCAGAACCUGAGCCCAGACCCGACGCGUCCAGAGACGAGAGAGACGUGGACUCCCAGAACUAAAGGACACACACACACAGAGUGAGGCUUCUCUAUGGGUUCAGACUCCAGCCGCGAGAGAAGAACUGAUGAUUCCAGAGCAGAUCAAAUCCACAGUCUCAGUGAAAGCAAACCAUCACGUGCUGACUCACACACACACACACACACACACACGGCAGGAGUCCCGACUGUGACUACAAUGGUUGCAUUUGCAAAACUCAAUUAAAAUCUGGUAGCAGGAAACAGCUAGGGUUAGGAAUCAAAAAUCAAUUCCAAUUCCAGAAUCAAACACUUAAGGUCAGGAAUCAGAUACUUGUUGUAAAAUUAAAAUUUCACUUCCUGUGUGCGCAUCUAUUAUAUUUAGCUGGUGAAAAGGAGCUGUUAAAAAUUUAUUUGUCUUUGAAUCAUUCAUUCAAGAGAUUCAUUCAAAAACACUGAUUCACCCAGUAAUGAAUCAAGUAAAUCUUGAGUGAGUCAUUGAAUCAUUCCAUUCAGAAAUUCCAUGAGAUUUUGUUUAGCUGUCUAAUAUUCUUUCUUCAGAAUUGUGAGAGAACUACAACCUCCAUAAAAAAAAAGUCUCAAUUUAUCCAGAAUCAUGCGGCACACAAACAGCUCUUAAUCGAGUCCAGUUUUUAUGAAGCCGGCUGAUAUUUAUUCAUGGUAUUCAGCAGCAAUUAAAUGUUUUGCAAAAUAAAUGUUUGAUAUCUAAAUGUUUGACUUUGGAAUUGAAAAUGGGAAUGAAGCGAUAAGCAGAAUCGGAAUCAGAAUCAGAACUGAUCAGAUUCAAACGAUGCCCAGCCCGAGUAACAGCUCUUCAUCUGAUCAGGAGUUAAUUAAUGACGACUUUAUACCAGUGUUUCCUACAGAACUCUACAUGAACACAGUGCUGAAUCAUCAACAACUGACUUAUGAGAUGAUUUUUGUGAUGAAUCAAACAGUUUCAUAAAUAAGUCUCUAAUUCACAAGCAACUCAAAAUAACUAGGGAUGCACGAUAUUAGAUUUUUGCCGAUAUCCGAUAUGCCGAUAUUAUUCCAAUCAUUUUGGCCAAUAGCCGAUGCCGAUAACAAUAUAUAUUUCCCUUUGUUUUGAAACAACACCAGCUCUCUCCUGUGCGGAAAUUAUAAACAAACUAUUUUUAAUUUUGGUUAGUUUUGAGCAAAAACUUAGAACUAAUAAACAUUAUUAAAGUUCUUAUUUAGUGAGAGUACAUUGAAAGCCUUGAAAAUAUCUAUAAUAAAAUCAAUCUGCUGUUUUUUUUUGUCAUAUGCAGUUAAAACCUUAAUAUUUUAUUUGUCAAUUUAACAUUAAUAGAUGGUCUAAAGUAAAGGCUGUAAAAAUUAUAAAAUAUUUUAGAGCUCCUUCAUAAUCCAUUGGAAAAAACACAUUACAUAUUAUUGAGUAAAUCUGUAUAAAUUAAAGUAUUUAAUUUACAAGUGUCAUGUUUGUGAUUUUUGUUCACGUAAGCUAUAGCUUCUGACCUUUAAAUCAAAACAGACUCAUGAUUUUAUGACAUUAAUACUGCUUUAUUUAUUCAGAAACACAAGUAUCUUAAUGUUAUUUGUAUAUUUUACUUUCAAUUUAUUCCAAGUAGGCCUACAGUGCCCCUGAAGUAAAUAAAACGCAAGUCUAAACAGUGAAUCUAAUCAUAAUUCAGGCAAAAGUUUGCUUCAAGAAUGAGCACUGCUGACGUGAUCUUACGUGUGAGCUAUUCGUCUUAUCGGCACAUUUUAAGCCUUUAUCGGAUGAUUCCAAUAACAUUGGAUCUGAUAAUAUUGUGCAUCCCUAUAAAUAACUAUUAUGAAUACAGUGAUAACCAGCGUGAAAUAUAGUGCAUUACUUUAAAUCAGUACAUCAUUGGGAACACUUUCCGGUGCUGAGAUUGAGCGGAAACACUGGCACACGUCUUUACAAUGUAGAAUUGAGCAAUUCUGUCAUUUUGUAACUAUAUAACAUCACUUGGCUCUGUCUGUUUAGGAGUUUGUUUGUUUAGUCGGGAUCCCUGGCACACUCAAGAACGACGACUAGAGUGAUCUGCAACCAGCUAACCAUGACUAACACACACAAACACAAAGACACACAGCAGAAACGCCGGUGAUGAUGAACUCGGAGAGAAAUGAGUGUUUUCCAGACAUGGACGGGCGGAGAGACGGAAUGAGAGCGUCGGGUGAAUCAGAGAUGAAGCUGAUGUUGACCUCCUCCACGUCGGAGCUGCUGGAGCCGGCGGAGGUCACGCUGAGAGAGUCGCCGCCGUCACCGGCCGAGCCGCUCAAACCCGGCGGGAACCGCAGCUGAUCG